CCUCCGCGCCCCUCGGCUCUGGCCCCGUCCGGAGGCCGGCGGUGCUCCUUUUGGCACCUUCCCUUGACUCUCUCCACCUGUUCCCUCUUCUGCCUUUAAAGACCCAUGUGAUUGUGUCGGGCCUUCCUCGAUAAUCCCAGGUAACCCUGCUGUCUGAAGUUCAGCUGAUGAGCAACCGUAAUUUCAUCAGCAGCCUGAAAGCCCCUCUGCCGCGUGACCUAACGUGUCCCCGGUCCCGAAGAUCAGGCCGUGGACGUCUUCUGGAGCGAGAAGAUUCACCCAUUCAUCCAGCGAACAGUUACCUCACCACCUCUCCCCCAGUGCCNCACGUUGCCCCUCAGGCUGUUUUCCCUUCCCACUUUGUCCUGCUUCCCUCCCUGCCUUUCAGGAUGGGUGGAGCAGUUAGGUGGUCCCCGAAGUGAGGGCAAGUGGCUGGACUCCUUUCUGGCUGGUGGAAACAGUGUUUAUAUAGGUACAGCCUUGGUGGGAAAAACAAAAAGCUAGAUAUUCCUCUGGUGGUCUGGUGGUUGGGACUUGGUGCUUCCACUCCAAGGGGUACAGGUUCAGUCCCUGGUCGGGGAGCUAAGAUCCUGUGUACUACAUGGCACAGCCAAAAAAAAGGUAAAGAUAACAAGAAGAAGAUAAAAGCGGUAAUGACGAAAGAGCCCUGAAUAGCACCAGAGAUAGCACACUGCCUUUUAUAAAUUCCUGCUGUGUUUCCUGAUCCUCCUCACCAGAGCAGAGCCUUCCUAGACUAUUCUGCUGGGUUCUGAGCUUCCGACCUUAACAGAGACCAGAAAGCUCAAGCAGAGGCUCAGGAGAGAAAUCUCUUACUGUACAUUGUUACAUGCCAGGUUGUCCUGCAGAGUGUUUCACACCUGGUUGAAACAUUAAAUGUUAAGAUUCACCCAUUCAUCCAGCAAACAGUUAUCUCACCUACCGGGAAAGAGUGUUUAAUAUAUAGGGAGACAGGGAUAAAUAAUUCUGGCUGCCCCAGAGGCCGCGGAGACUCAUCUGCAGAGGUCAGGUUCCGAAGUCAGCAUAUAAGCUUGAAGUGGAGCAUCGUCAAGUGACCCUCAAAGACCCUUCCAGCCUUCACGCCCUUAGAAACUCAGAGCCAGUCUGGAAGCUGACACACGGCUUCUUGUAUUUCACCAGUAGCUCCCUCCUUCGUAGGAAGCAGAGGCCCACGCCUGUCCAGCCCCUUUGAGUUUCAGAGUCUCUGUUCCUCCUUGUCUUCGCUUUUCUUGGUGUCCUUGUCGUUAAGAGGUGGUGUGUUGCUCAGUGUCAAGACUGGACUGUAAUGAGGCUGCAGACAGGCUUUUAUCUAAUUGUACUGUCAACCAGUAUGAAAACCACUCUUCUGCUUCUGAGGAAAAACUACAUUAUCAUUAUAAAGUUUCCGCACUGAUGAUCGUCACGGUGGGGUUUUCCUGUUUCCCCUAGUUUUUUGAUGACCACUGUGGUCUCCACAGUAGGAAGCAAAGUAGGGAAGGCAUUACCUCCAGGCGAGGGCCUCCCUCGGCCCUGAAGGUACUUAGCCUGUGUGCGCCAUGCGGGGUGGACACACAGGUGCUAUCUGCAGAGACAGUGGUUUUUAUCCGCUAGAGUUGGGGAGCCUAAUUGUUUUUUUAGCUGCCACUUCUGUUUGUUAAAGAGAUGGAUGUUUGGCCAUGGAGGAAAGCAAGGUGAAUUUAUCGUUACAAUUAGACGCCUCACAGUCUGAAAACUUAUCACUUAAAUUGGCAAAGUGUCACUUUUAUGCAACUUGACGUUGAGAAGCCCUCGGAGCCCAGGACUAAACCCAUACGCAGUUUAACCCGAUCUUGGUGAGAUGGAAGAAGUCACACUCGAGGAGACGUGGAGACAAACCGGACGGGGUUUUCCAAUUCCCUGCUACAUGGCAGAGUAGGUGGAGGGAGGCAGACCACAGAUUGAUUUUUGUGUAACUCUCAGACUAAGUGGAGUGGAGCCAAAAAUUGCAGGGUCUGAAGUUGCCCUAUGUUUGCUUACUCUGAGGAAGUUAGUUAAUAUGUUAAUACGGAUCUAGUCGGACACUGUGUUUCACGCUUCACGUUAAUUUGUGCUGCCUCCUAAUCUCCUGGCAACUGAGAACAAGUCAUAGGUUAUGUUUCUUAUUUAUGGGCAUCAAGCAGUAUCUUUAUAAUGUAAAGUAAAGCCAGCGAAAUGCACAGCCCGAUAACAACAAAUCUAAUCUAAAGUGACACGGGGAAACUCUCCCAGACGUUUUUCUCUUUAAUGUAACAUGACUUCAAAUUGAUGCAGCCCCACAGUGAUUGAAAAACUCUCAGAGCUUGUCUCCUGUGAUUACGUGUCUGAUCUGUACAACUUAAUUUUUUAACUUGGUGCAUCUCUGUUUUGCGAAUGAACAGUUUUCUCUUGCUUCCUCUCUCACUUUGUUUGGGAAGAGAGUUUAUUUGGCAGCCACGCACAUCGCGUGGGGAAAUGGCGAANNNNNNNNNNNNNNNNNNNNGAGAAACGCGUCUGGAGGCGGCAGCUCCGAGUCUCUCUCUCCUCCUCCUCUUCCCUCUUUCUUCUCUUCCCUUCUCUUUUAUUUUCUCUUGACUGUGAUGAUGGUGCACUUAUCUGUGAAUAUGCUAAGACCAAUUAAUUGUAUACUUUUUUUUUUCAGGUACAGUUGGUUUACAAUGGUAUGUUAGUUUCAGGUAUAUAGUGCAGUGAUUCAAUUAUAUAUAGUAUAUACAUCCUUCAGAUUCUUUUGCAUGAUAGGCUGUUAUGAAAUUGGAUAUAGUUUUCUGUGCUAUACAGUAGUUCCUCGCUGUUUACUUUAUAUAUAGUAGCGUAUAGCGGUUAAACGCAAACUUCUAAUUUAUCUCAGUAACACUCAUAUCCGUAUAUAGAGAGAUAUAUAUAGACAGAUACAUAUAUAUAGAUGUUAUAGACAGAUAUCUCUCUCUCUCUGUAUAUAUAUAGAGANNNNNNNNNNNNNNNNNNNNNNNNNNNNNNNNNNNNNNNNNNNNNNNNNNNNNNNNNNNNNNNNNNNNNNNNNNNNNNNNNNNNNNNNNNNNNUUACCCUUUGUGGUGUGUAAGGUAAUGCCCAGUGAUUGCUAAAGUUUGCGUAUUCAGGACACUCACUCAAAUUCUUUAUCCAGUGGUGCCUAGAAUGUGUUGGAAUUUUGUUUGAGUUGAAAAUUCAUUCCUUGGGCCUCCUAUGGGAUGUAUAUAAGUUUGAUGUGGUCCACAGUCCAGUUAGGUCAUGGAUGCUCCCAUUUAAGUAAUGUUUUUCAGUCACUAAGUUGUGUUUGACUCUUUGCAACCCCAUGGACUGCAGCAUGCCAGGCU
ensembl:lncRNA